rnacentral:lncRNA from 1 species
UCACAAUUAUAACGAAUUUUCAGAGCCAAACUAGUUAGGUUUCUUACAUUGAUUUGAUGCGAGUUGUACGUGCAAACGUCAUUCGACUUCACUAUUGAUUCGGAGCGUUUAAGUCAGAACCUAACACAUUUAAAUGCUGAAAAAUCAUUAACUAAUCCAUGACUAAAAUCUUUAAUUUGAUCAAUUAACAAUUUCCCCAAACAUUUAAACCUAAACUACACUCUAGUCUAUAAUCAACCACACUUAUACUUCCCGAAUUGUCAGAUCUGAGUCACUGAUUGAUCAAGAUUGAUUUUUUUCCUAAUUAUACAUGAUUAAAGGCUGAUUAGGAAGGGUUCAAUAACCCAAUACGUUUCUAGAAACAAAUGGAAGAAAAUAAAGAAACAAGAUCCCCCUUUCUUGAUCCCUUAGGCGCGCUCACCACCACCAACGGUGGCCAAAUUGGGGCUGAUUUAAAAGCAUGUUUAAAAACACUUGGAAGGCUGGAAAAUACCCUUUAAAAUUUUAAAAAUCACCCAAAUUCUAGAUCUAUAAUUUUGGGAUUUUAACUCACAAGACUCAUCAAGAAAAACCAAAGAAAAUGGCACUUACUCAAGUAAGAAGAAAGGGGCAACAAAUAAGGGCUGUCAAACGUUAAGAGAAUCAAUCGUGGGUCACCAAAGGUUGCUAUUGCUACUGUCAACUAGUGGUGCACAGGGUGUGACAGAAGCCAUUGAAUGACGAUUGCGUGCAGCAAAAAAUGAUGGUUGUCAAUUACGUCUAACGAAAGCCGAUGACUGCCAAUGCUAGCAGCAACAAGGGGAAAACAAAAGAAAAAUUGAAGAAAAGAGUGG